rnacentral:rRNA from 1 species
UAGGGAAUCUUCGGCAAUGGGGGGAACCCUGACCGAGCAACGCCGCGUGAGUGAAGAAGGUUUUCGGAUCGUAAAGCUCUGUUGUUAAGGAAGAACGAGUGUGAGAAUGGAAAGUUCAUACUGUGACGGUACUUAACCAGAAAGGGACGGCUAACUACGUGCCAGCAGCCGCGGUAAUACGUAGGUCCCGAGCGUUGUCCGGAUUUAUUGGGCGUAAAGCGAGCGCAGGCGGUUAGAUAAGUCUGAAGUUAAAGGCAGUGGCUCAACCAUUGUAGGCUUUGGAAACUGUUUAACUUGAGUGCAGAAGGGGAGAGUGGAAUUCCAUGUGUAGCGGUGAAAUGCGUAGAUAUAUGGAGGAACACCGGUGGCGAAAGCGGCUCUCUGGUCUGUACUGACGCUGAGGCUCGAAAGCGUGGGGAGCGAACAGG